rnacentral:rRNA from 1 species
GACGAACGCUGGCGGCGUGCUUAACACAUGCAAGUCGAACGAUGAACCCGGAGCUUGCUCCGGUGGAUUAGUGGCGAACGGGUGAGUAACACGUGAGUAACCUGCCCUUGACUCUGGGAUAACUGCGGGAAACUGUAGCUAAUACCGGAUACGACCCUCGGCGGCAUCGCCAGGGGGUGGAAAGAAUUUCGGUCAAGGAUGGACUCGCGGCCUAUCAGCUAGUUGGUGAGGUAGCGGCUCACCAAGGCGACGACGGGUAGCCGGCCUGAGAGGGGGACCGGCCACCCUGGGACUGCGACAGGGCCCAGAGUCCUACGGGAGGCAGCAGUGGGGAAUAUGGCACAGUGGGCGCAAGCCUGAGUCAGCAACGCCGCGUGAGGGAUGACGGCCUUCGGGUUGUAAACCUCUUUUAGUAGGGAAGAAGCGAAAGUGACGGUACCUGCAGAAAAAGCACCGGCUAACUACGUGCCAGCCGCCGCGGUAA